rnacentral:rRNA from 1 species
AAAGCUAAUGGCGAAUGCCUUGGCAGUUUAAGCCGAAGAAGGACGGGUGCUAACGCCCGAAAACAACGAUGAGCCCGUAUGUAGGCGCUACAAAUCGUUGGUUUCCGAAUGGGGCAACCCCAUCUUGCGUAAGCAAGGUGAUCAGGUACCGCAUGGUACCCGAGGGUAAGCUGGAGAACUGAAACAUCUCAGUAUCCAGAGGAAAAGAAAACAACCAGCCUCGCUUAGACGCAAGUCUAGGCGGGCAGUGAUUGCGCAAGUAGCGGCGAGCGAAAACGCAAUAGUCUAAACCCCGCUCUGCGGGGGGUUGUGGGGCAAAUAAUGUGGAAUCUCAUCUUGGGUAAAAAAACGUUCUGGAAAGGACGGCCAUAGAAAGUGAUAGCCUUGUAUUUUAAACCUAAGAUAGUCCUAUUUUGUUCCCAAGUACCACGAGGCACGGCAAACCUUGUGGGAAGCAGGGUCGGUCACGACCCAAGACUAAAUACUUAAACUGACCGAUAGUGAACUAGUACCGUGAGGGAAAGGUGAAAAGCACCCCGUCAAGGGGAGUGAAAUAGAUACUGAAACCAUUAGCUAACAAACAGACAGAGUCCCGCUUAGCGGGAUGAUGUCGUGCCUAUUGAAGAAUGAGUCAGCGAGUAUACGUUUUAGUGUUUUUUGUUUAAACCCGUUUAAAUCGGGAGUAGGCAAAGCGAAAGCGAGUCCUAAUAGGGCGAAUUUACACUUAACGUAUGACCCGAAACUGGGUGAGCUAACCAUGGGCAGGAUGAACCUCGAUGAAAAUCGGGGGGAGGUCCGAACCCGUUGUCGGUGAAAUGACAUGGGAAGACUUGUGGUUAGGGGUAAUAUGCCUAUCGAACCCAGAGAUAGCUGGUUCUCCUCGAGAUAUAUUUAGGUAUAGCCUCGUUAUUAAUUUUUCGCGGGGUAGAGCGACUAGAUGGUUUUGAAAGCGUAAGCGAUCAAGACCAACUAAACUCCAAAUACGCGAAAAAACUAUUCGAGAGUCAGUCGAGUCCGGAUAAGCGGAUUUCGGCGAGAGGGAAACAUCCCAGACUCUCAUCUAAGGUUCCUAAAUGACUUUUAAGUGAAAAGGUCGUUGCGUUUCCAAUACAGCUGGUAGGUUGGCUCAGAAGCAGCCAUCCUUUAAAGAGUGCGUAACAGCUCACCAUAAUAUCCCCGCUCUGCGGGGAGGAAGCUCGGCGCCAAAAAUGAUCGGAACUAAAAAGUCUACCGAAGAUGGAGAUGUCCCGCUCUGCGGGACGUGGUAGAGGAGCUUUCCAAAAGCAGCGAAGUAUUACCGUAAGGUAAGAUGGAGUUUUUGGAAGUGAGAAUGCUGACAUAAGUAGUGAAUCUCCCGAUAAAAACUCGGGAUGCCGAAAGUCUGAGGUUUCCCCGGCAAUGUCAAUCAUCCGGGGGUCAGUCGAAUCUAAGGGGGUACCGUCUGGUACUUCCGAUGUACAAAUCGUUAAUAUUCGAUUACUUAUUUUUUGGCGUUAUUACUUGAUUUAUGACGAAGUUUGAUAUUCCUGCCCUUCUAUAUGAGGGGUUAAGUAGUGAGUUAACUCGCAAGAGUUAACAAACUACGAAUACAAUUCUGUCGCAAGACGGGAGAGUGGGAUGACUUAAGCUUCCGGGAAAAAUAGAUCAAGGAGUUAAAAAAUAAUUCGUACCGCAAACCGACACAGGUAGACUGGUAGAGUAUACCAAGGCAGACGGGUAAUGGUUGUUCAAGGAAUUCGGCAAAAAAACUGAGCGUAAGUUAUACAAGAUGCUCUGGAGGUACCGUCUGGUACCCCCUUCAACAAAAGUUUGUCAACCGACUGUUUAGCAAAAACACAGGUUCCUGCAAACCCCAAUAGGGGAUAUAUAGGAGCUGAGACCUGUCCAGUACUGGUAAGUCAACCGCUUUGGGUGAUCUAAUUUAUUUAGUUAGCCCGAGGUGUAAGCUCCAGUGAACGACAGCUCUAACCCUGAGAGUUCUAAGGUAGCGUAGCCCCUUGCCGGGUAAGUUCCGGCCCGCAUGAAAGGUUUAACGAGUUGACAACUGUCUUGAACUGCCGCCCGACGAAAUUGAAAUGGCUGUGAAGAUGCGGCCUACUUGCACAUGGACAAAAAGACCCCGGGAGCUUUACUGAAGCUAGGUAUUGAUGGAGUGAAAUUAACUGUUGAGCGUAGGAGGGACCACGCUUAGCGUGGGACAAUGAAACACCUCUCUUUGAUUUUUCUUUAUCUGAGCCCGCUUAGCGGGCAACAGUGCUUGGCGGUCAGUUUAACUGGGGCGGUUUCCUCCAAAAAGGUAACGGAGGAGCACAAAGGUCAGCUUGGUCCGGAUGGAAAUCGGACUGUACGUGCAUACGCAUAAGCUGGCUUAACUGCGAGAGUGACCACUCGAGCAGAUGCGAAAGCAGGUGUUAGUGAUCCCCUGAAUCGCAGUGAUUGCGGUCAGGGCUUAACGGAUAAAAGCUACCCCGGGGAUAACAGGCUAGUCGUUUCCGAGAGUUCAUAUCGACGAAACGGUUCGGCACCUCGAUGUCGGCUCACCGUAUCCUAGGGCUGAAGUCGGUCCUAAGGGUUGGACUGUUCGUCCAUUAAAACGGUACGCGAGCUGGGUUCAGAACGUCGUGAGACAGUUCGGACUCUAUCCUGUGCAAGCGCUUGAACUUUUGACACUGAAUGCAUCUCAAGUGUGAAGCAGACUCCAAGAUUAGAAGUUCUUAUUAGCUUUCCAGAAGAAUACUGGACAUAUAGGCCUUAGGUGUAAGCCCUGUAAAGGGUUCAGCCGAGAGGUACUAAGUA